UGUUUUCUCUUUCCCCAGAUCGGACCCAGCACAGGCAGCGUCAAUGCAAGCUUCCCCCACCCCGUCUUCCACCCAUGUGUGUCAACCCUGCCCCUGGAGGGACCAUCUCUCGAGGUAAGAGAGGUAGA
ensembl:misc_RNA predicted gene, 27855